rnacentral:rRNA from 1 species
CCUACGGGUGGCUGCAGUAGGGAAUAUUGGGCAAUGGCCGAGAGGCUGACCCAGCCAUGCCGCGUGCAGGAAGACGGCCCUCUGGGUUGUAAACUGCUUUUGCCGGGGAAGAACGGCUUUCUUGCGAGAGAGUGUGACGGUACUCGGUGAAUAAGCACCGGCUAACUCCGUGCCAGCAGCCGCGGUAAUACGGAGGGUGCAAGCGUUGUCCGGAUUUAUUGGGUUUAAAGGGUGCGUAGGUGGGUAGAUAAGUCUGGUUUGAAAGUUGGUCGCUU